GACGAACGCUGGCGGCGUGCCUAAUACAUGCAAGUAGAACGCUGAAGACUUUAGCUUGCUAAAGUUGGAAGAGUUGCGAACGGGUGAGUAACGCGUAGGUAACCUGCCUACUAGCGGGGGAUAACUAUUGGAAACGAUAGCUAAUACCGCAUAACAGCAUUUAACCCAUGUUAGAUGCUUGAAAGGAGCAAUUGCUUCACUAGUAGAUGGACCUGCGUUGUAUUAGCUAGUUGGUGAGGUAACGGCUCACCAAGGCGACGAUACAUAGCCGACCUGGGAGGGUGAUCGGCCACACUGGGACUGAGACACGGCCCAGACUCCUACGGGAGGUAGCAGUAGGGAAUCUUCGGCAAUGGGGGCAACCCUGACCGAGCAACGCCGCGUGAGUGAAGAAGGUUUUCGGAUCGUAAAGCUCUGUUGUAAGAGAAGAACGUGUGUGAGAGUGGAAAGUUCACACAGAGACGGUAACUUACCAGAAAGGGACGGCUAACUACGUGCCAGCAGCCGCCGUAAAAC
rnacentral:rRNA from 1 species